GCAGUCGUGGCCGAGUGGUUAAGGCAGUGGACUAGAAAUCCAUUGGGGUCUCCCCGCACAGGUUCGAAUCCUGUCGACUGCG
rnacentral:tRNA from 1 species